rnacentral:lncRNA from 1 species
GCUGAUGAUGGCUGAGCAUCCUGAGUCUGGUUCAGUUGGAGGCUUGUUAUGUUAAAGAGUGUUUCAUUUCCACUGUGGACUUGUGCUCAAGACCAAUUACCUAUAACUAUGUUUACUGUUCUGUUCAGUAAGAUCCUAACCUAAUUUGGUGCUAUAUAGAUAGAAUCAAAACUAAAUUACAAGUAGUAAUGCUUCACACAUGCAAGCAGAUAUCUAAAAUAUUAAUUAUGUGAAUUUUAAUAAUAUAAAAGAUACACAGGCAAAAACUUCAAAUCCCCUGAUGAGGUCCAUGAUAGCUGAAGAAAAGAUAGGCAAGCUGCACAAAUAGCAGUGAUUGCUCAGUAUAAUAACAUGUGAAUCAUUAUUUCACACGCCCUGUUAGUAUUGCAAUAAUUCUCUACGUUUUUUAAUAUUGCGUACACUAAUUAUAUAGAUUUAUAUAGAUAUAUAAUAGAUUAUUAAAAAUUAUCGUAGUUACUGAGGAGGAUAUGAAUAAAUUAGGUUUUUUGUAAAUCAACACAGUUUUGGUGUCUCUUUCUUCAAUUCAUGUCCUAAAUAAAAUGUAUCAAAUAAACGUUAUAUUUCAAAUAAAGUUAAGAUUUAAAUGAGGUUUCGAAGGGAGAAAUUUGCCGUUUUCUUUAGGCCUCUACUCGAGCAGACGCGUGUCUCGAGGUGCCACGAGGUGGCGCUCUGGUCCGAGACCGAGCACCCAUCGAGAGCAGCGAAGAAGUGCGCACGGCAGGACGCAAACCUGGUUUCUGGUGCUGUAAGUCUGAACAGCCUUGGUUUGCUACAAAUCUGUUCUCUGUAUAUUUUUCGGGCGUGAAUUAGUUUUUUGUUGGACUUGUUUGUUAAAUGUGAUUGUAUGUAUGUGCGGGCGGGCGGGCGUCCGCAGUUAGCCGCAGUGUUAGCCUAGCAUCCCCAGACACUUCUACACCGCUCACUGGCGUCAACAACUCGACCCAAAGGAUGAAUUUGGCCAAAAGCGCGACUUUGCAUCCGCACCUGCUCGACGAGGAAGCGCGCGUGGUGGAAAACGCCAUCCGGCUGGCGAUAGACUCCAUACUGAACGUGCUGUACGGCGUCAACAGCGCCAGGACCCGGGAGUACCAGCGGAUGGUGGGCGACCGGGACAAAGAGAUCCAGCGGCUGGAGCGUAGGCUGAGGGAGAUCGAGCACGAGCUGCAGGUGCUCCGCCGGCAGGGAUGCACCCGCGGCCACCUGGCCGGGCCACAGACCUGCACAGAGCCGAGCGGGUCCGAACCAGACUGUUUGGACCCGGAGGUGACGGCGGGUCAGCAGGACUGUGAGAUGAGCCUUUCGUUUGGACUUUUUGCGAGGCCUUCGUCACACGUCUCCUCUCAGAGCCACGAGUCAGCUCUUCCAUCAUCCCCCAGCAGAAUGGGGCUGGAUCAGACCUACACUUCCCGCUCCUCUGAGGCCUCAGGUUUGUCAGAGGUGGCCAGGAAUUUGACUACAUCUCCCAGUGGCCUCGUCGUCAAAGAAGAGCCAUAUGAUAUAGACACAGUCAUGAUCAAGUGGGAAAUGAGCGAGAGGAGAUUGGGAGAGCAGCAGGAGAUCAGAGACAGUCCAUGUCACGAUAAAGAAGGUCCCAGCAUAACAAAGAGCAGAGAGAAAACAAAGAUCAAUGAGAAACCUCAAGCGGAGCCUGAAGAUCACCAUGUCGCAGAGGGGGAUAACCUGAGGAAUAGGAAGAAGCCUGUGCCGAUGUCAGAGCUACCGGAGGAGGCCCAGAGACUGAAGAGGGCGGCCUGGAGGGCGGCUUCCAGACGCUAUUAUGCCCGGAAAGUGGCCCGUCAGCAGGCAGACCCUUCACACUCCAGCCCCUUUCCCCACAUCCCAGCUUCUCACUAUUCACCGCCCAUGUCGCUUCUGGAGAGAAGGAGGAGGUCGCUCAUCUCUGAGCUGCCUGAAGAGUCUCAGAUGCUGCAGAGGGAGGCGUGGAGAGCUGCGUCCAAGAGAUACUAUGCCCGAAAAAUCGCUCGCCACCGACCUGAGUACGGACACCUGCUGCAGCACAAAGAGGCAUCAGGGGAAACGCCUAAGACAGGAGGAUCCCACACCAACAGUGGAGGAAUAAUGUGCAGUUGA